CCUACGGGAGGCAGCAGUGGGGAAUUUUGGACAAUGGGGGCAACCCUGAUCCAGCCAUUCCGCGUGAGUGAAGAAGGCCUUCGGGUUGUAAAGCUCUUUCGCAAGGGAAGAAAUCUUGCCGUUUAAUAAACGGCAAGGAUGACGGUACCUUGACAAGAAGCACCGGCUAACUACGUGCCAGCAGCCGCGGUAAUACGUAGGGUGCGAGCGUUAAUCGGAAUUACUGGGCGUAAAGCGUGCGCAGGCUGUUUUAUAAGUCAGAUGUGAAAUCCCCGAGCUCAACUUGGGAACUGCGUUUGAUACUGUAAGACUAGAGUGUGUCAGAGGGGGGUAGAAUUCCACGUGUAGCAGUGAAAUGCGUAGAUAUGUGGAGGAAUACCAAUGGCGAAGGCAGCCCCCUGGGAUAACACUGACGCUCAUGCACGAAAGCGUGGGGAGCAAACAGGAUUAGAUACCCUGGUAGUCCACGCCCUAAACGAUGUCUACUAGUUGUUGGUGGAGUAAAAUCCAUGAGUAACGCAGCUAACGCGUGAAGUAGACCGCCUGGGGAGUACGGUCGCAAGAUUAAAACUCAAAUGAAUUGACGG
rnacentral:rRNA from 1 species